rnacentral:rRNA from 1 species
AGAGUUUGAUCAUGGCUCAGGAUGAACGCUAGCUACAGGCUUAACACAUGCAAGUCGAGGGGAAACGAUAUUGGAAGCUUGCUUCCGAUAGGCGUCGACCGGCGUACGGGUGAGUAACGCGUAUCCAACCUGCCCACCACUUGGGGAUAACCUUGCGAAAGUAAGACUAAUACCCAAUGACGUCUCUAGAAGACAUCUGAAAGAGAUUAAAGAUUUAUCGGUGAUGGAUGGGGAUGCGUCUGAUUAGCUUGUUGGCGGGGUAACGGCCCACCAAGGCGACGAUCAGUAGCCGGUCUGAGAGGAUGAACGGCCACACUGGAACUGAGACACGGUCCAGACUCCUACGGGAGGCAGCA